CACGAACCGUGCGAACGUUAUUCGGAAUCACUGGGCUUAAAGGGUGCGUAGGCGGCUUUGCAAGUGGGAUGUGAAAUCCCUCAGCUCAACUGAGGAACUGCGUUCCAAACUGCAAAGCUAGAGGGAGACAGAGGUAAGCGGAACUGAUGGUGGAGCGGUGAAAUGCGUUGAUAUCAUCAGGAACACCAGUGGCGAAGGCGGCUUACUGGGUCUCUUCUGACGCUGAGGCACGAAAGCUAGGGUAGCGAACGGG
rnacentral:rRNA from 1 species